rnacentral:rRNA from 1 species
UCUUUGUGGUGUGACUGCGUACCUUUUGUAUAAUGGGUCAACGACUUACAUUCAGUAGCGAGCUUAACCGAGUAGGGGAGGCGUAGGGAAACCGAGUCUUAAUAGGGCGACUAGUUGCUGGGUGUAGACCCGAAACCGAGUGAUCUAUCCAUGGCCAGGAUGAAGGUGCGGUAAAACGCAUUGGAGGUCCGAACCCACGCAUGUUGCAAAAUGCGGGGAUGAGCUGUGGAUAGGGGUGAAAGGCUAAACAAACUCGGAGAUAGCUGGUUCUCCCCGAAAACUAUUUAGGUAGUGCCUCGAGUAUGAGACUGAUGGGGGUAAAGCACUGUUAUGGCU